rnacentral:lncRNA from 1 species
GCCAAAACGAACCCAUCUCCUAAUGGGAAAAGAACAAAGUUUGGAGAAUCACUGUACCACCUCAUUGUUUGCUCAUGAGAAGGCAGGGAAAUAGGCAGAAAUACUAAGGAAGAUCCCAGACAGAAAUUUCCACAGGUUGGCAAACAGCUCCCAGCUGGAGAAAAGAGGGAGCCAGACUAGAAAUCAAGAGUUGUUGUUGUGUGCUGUCAAUGUUUUAGCUAUUGAAAAGUAUGAUUCAUGGUAUCUGGAAACUUCAGUGAGACAGGGGUGAAAAGGUCCAUUGGCCUAUUCGAAAGCAACGCAUUCCCUGUUGUCAUGGAAAAAUGAAUGGACGUGAGCAGAUCAUGACCACCAACGUAUGGCUCAAUCAGGAUAUUAAUCUCUGUGUUGGGAAGCAAAGAACAAAACAUUUUCCUGGAUGUCUAACUCCUGAAAAGAAGGCUUCUCUUGAGAGCUCCCACGAAGCGCUUGGUUGAUUCAUUCCAUUCCAGCCAAUUUUUUUUUUCAAUCUAUACUUUGUGACAGAAAUUAAUUGUCUUAAAAUGUUCGAAAUGGCAAAAGCCCAGAAAAUGUUAGUCUAGCAGGUGUGUGUGUGUGUGUGUGUGUGUGUGUGUGUGUGUGUGUUUUAAACGCAGACUGUCAGGAGGCAGUUGAAUCACAGGCAGCUUUGCUUUUAAGGACAUGCCUCUGUUUAGACUGACAUUGGUUUAAUAAUCACAGCUCCAUUGCAGCAAUUAUCUCCACCCUAGCGUGGGAAGGUACAAGUGUUCUAGAGAGAGCAGUUGCCCUUGAGGAGGAGGAAUGAAGAGAAAAGGGUGAAAAUACCCUCCUGAACCAUCAUCAUAUGUUGCUGGCUUACAGGGGGGGCCCUUUCACUGCUCUCCUGAAGACGAACAACCAGCUGCAUCCACCUUUGGGACUUGGCAAGCACUUUGGUAGGUGAGGGCGAAUACAGACGCAGCCACCUCCCGAGAAAGUUUCCUGUAGCCAUUUGCUGCUUCAAAAUACUUCUCUGCACAGCGCUUCUCUUUCCUGUGCUAAAUAUGAACAUCUCCAAAACAUAUUGCAGAUUGCAUAUGUUUUAAUUUGCUGUAAAACUUUCGCCAAUUAAAUCUUUUACAAGCUCCACUUUGUUACCAAAAUAUUCUAAAAAAGGACAGGCUGCUUCCUGCAUAUGUUUCUGGGUUUUAUUUGUUUUUCGUUUGUUUGGAGGUCCCCCCACUUUAAAACGGUUUUGCUUAACUAGGACUUUGGAAUAGGUAAUAUUGUGAAAAGGGCAUCUCUCAGUAAGCCAGGUAGCCCAUAUAAUAAUACUUUAAAAAAAACCUGACAACAAUCAGUAUAUGUCUUUUCCUAGCACUAUAAUUAUCAUUUGUUUGUUACUUAAACACAGAGCGCCAAAUCUUUUAAACAAAUUAAUACUGUACUAUUGUCAAGUAGGAUAGAUGUUCAGCCUAUGCUUUCACCCUGGUAACUACAUAGAAUAUCCUUAAGUGGUUUAAAAUAAAAUAUUGAAUUUCUCUGAG